rnacentral:rRNA from 1 species
CGUGUCGGUGGUUAUAGCGGUGGGGUCACGCCCGGUCCCAUUCCGAACCCGGAAGCUAAGCCCACCUGCGCCGAUGGUACUGCACCUGGGAGGGUGUGGGAGAGUAGGUCACCGCCGGCCAA